rnacentral:rRNA from 1 species
GUCUUGAAACACGGACCGAGGAAUAUAGCAUGUGCGCGGUCUUGGGAAUAACUAAACCUAAAGGCGCAAUGAAAGUGAAGGUUCGCCUUGCGCGGACCGAGGGAGGAUGGGCGGUCGCCACCGCAAGAUGGCCCGCCCCGCACUCCCGGGGCGUCUCGUUCUCAUUGCGAGAAGAGGCGCACCAAGAGCGUACACGCUGGGACCCGAAAGAUGGUGAACUAUGCCUGGUCAGGACGAAGUCAGGGGAAACCCUGAUGGAGGUCCGUAGCGAUUCUGACGUGCAAAUCGAUCGUCGGAACUGGGUAUAGGGGCGAAAGACUAAUCGAACCAUCUAGUAGCUGGUUCCCUCCGAAGUUUCCCUCAGGAUAGCUGGCGCUCGUCGCCUACGAGUCUCAUCCGGUAAAGCGAAUGAUUAGAGGCAUUGGGGUCGAAACGGCCUCAACCUAUUCUCAAACUUUAAAUGGGUGAGAUCUCCGGCUUGCUCGAACUAUUGAAGCCGCGAGACACGGAUCAGAGUGCCAAGUGGGCCAUUUUUGGUAAGCAGAACUGGCGCUGUGGGAUGAACCAAACGCCGAGUUAAAGCGCCUAAAUCGACGCUUAUGGGAUACCAUGAAAGGCGUUGGUAACUUAAGACAGCAGGACGGUGGCCAUGGAAGUCGGAAUCCGCUAAGGAGUGUUGU